GCAUGGGUUUGGAUUUAUAGCAGGCCCGUCCCUCUGGGUCUCUUACUGGGCUCCAUGUGGGCACAUUGUGGCCUUGAACCAUUGCCUGCCUGUGUCCAUAGGCUGCAGACACUGAAGCGGGUUACAAAGUG